CCUCGUGAAUAGUUAGAAUGAAGCAUCAGAAAUUGUCUUUUUUACACAAGCCACAAAAAACGUCGUUUUUCACCGAAACCUUGUGAACGGACAUAAAAUGUCCGGAUAUACACGCGGGAUUUUUGUUCCGAAUUUUUCAACUUUUCGAAAUGUGUAUUUCGACAAUGGGUGCAUAUGCACCUAGGAGCAAAAAAGCCGUAUCUUUUAUCACCAAUUAUGAAUCUUUGUUUUGUCAAUAUGCUCUCUGGUAUCUCGAUUAUCAUUUUCUCGAACAAACUUCAGGACCUGAGACAUGGAAGGACACAACAGGUAUAGUGGAUAUGAAAAAUCCAUCCAUAAAGAUAGUGUGUGUGAAACCUUCAGAAAGCACUGCAAUUUCAUGUAAUCCCUUAACCAUACCAUGUGGUGCUAGUUUCAAGCCUUGGACUUCCAACAAAUCAGAAUCAUCAGAAGAGGAUUAUACUUUAUCGAUUACUUGGACUUAAGAGACCAAUUAUAGAAAGAAGACAUUAGCUGAGUGUGUUCAGGAAGAAGAGAAUCCCUAAGUUAGAGUUGAAUGCCAUUCCAUUUCCUAAAGAAAGAGAUGCUGGUGAGUAGUAGGAGUAAGGGCCCGGCUAGUGAGAACUACUCCCUCCGUCCCAUAAUAUAAGAGCGUUUUUGACACUAUUGUACUAUCUUUCUGGUGUAAGAGCAUGAAUAAGUGCAGAUGAACAGAAACAUUCAGGUUGUUUGAUCCUCUGUUCAGGAGGCUCACCAGGGUCACACAAGAUUCAGGGCAUGGGGCCAGGGUUCAUACCGGAGGUUCUCGACACGUUGGUCAUCGACCAGGUCGUGACAGUGAGCAUGGAGGAGGCCACAGCAAUAGCCGAUGGCGAGGAGGCUGGCAAGGAAGGAGGGCCUGCUGGUCGGUAUAUCCUCUGGUGCAAACGUCGCUGUUUGCGUCAAGAUCGCAGCGAGAGAAGGGAUCUAGGGCAAGAUGAUCGUUACCAUAUUCCCUAGCACCGGCGAGAGAUAUAUGAACUCUGAUCUCUUUGCGCUUGUGUGGGAGGAAUGUGACAAUAUGACCUUUUGAUGUCAUGGGCCCAUUUAAUCUAGGGAAUAUGGUACGUCUAAAAAGUUUGGCUUCCCAUUUCUGAAGGCUGACAAUGUACACAAUAUGCACACUAUUUUUUUAAUUUUAUUUUGCGAAUGAAAGUACACAAUAUGCACACAUGAGUAUGAAGAUUAAAUCAUUUUGAAGAUACAAAAGGGGUAGGGACUGAAUUACGGAGGCUGAUGGAUCCGCUGUCUGCAAAGGUGUCAUUCAGCAAGUAUUUCAUGAUAGUGGAAUGGUAUUCCUUUGUGCAGAAUGUGAUGUAGUGAUUGAUCCCCAUGAAGUCCAGCGACCCCUUCACCAGAUCGGCCUCUUUCGUCAUGAGCCUCAGCAGCCUUUCUCCGACCCUCGAUCUCAUUGUCGCCGGGUAAUCACCGAAGAAGAAGGGAUCGACAAACCUUUUUGACAUAGCAUCUGUUUAUCUCAGCAAUUCGCAUAAACUUAAAUCUGGAACCUACUACUACUCGGAUUAGCUUUGUUCAUUGUGACUGUAAUCAAUUUAUUAUACAAAACUGCCA